rnacentral:rRNA from 1 species
AUUGAACGCUGGCGGCAUGCCUUACACAUGCAAGUCGAACGGCAGCACGGGAGCAAUCCUGGUGGCGAGUGGCGAACGGGUGAGUAAUAUAUCGGAACGUGCCCAGUAGUGGGGGAUAACUGCUCGAAAGAGCAGCUAAUACCGCAUACGACCUGAGGGUGAAAGCGGGGGAUCGCAAGACCUCGCGCCAUUGGAGGGGCCGAUAUCAGAUUAGCUAGUUGGUGAGGUAAGGGCUCACCAAGGCGACGAUCUGUAGCUGGUCUGAGAGGACGACCAGCCACACUGGGACUGAGACACGGCCCAGACUCCUACGGGAGGCAGCAGUGGGGAAUUUUGGACAAUGGGCGCAAGCCUGAUCCAGCCAUGCCGCGUGCGGGAAGAAGGCCUUCGGGUUGUAAACCGCUUUUGUCAGGGAAGAAACGGCUCCUACUAAUACUGGGGGCUAAUGACGGUACCUGAAGAAUAAGCACCGGCUAACUACGUGCCAGCCGCCGCCGUAA